AUGAAUAACAUUGAGUACCUUUAGUGUUUUCAAUGAUGUGCAGCCUAUGCAUAUCUGUUUACAUCUCAAAAAAAGUGUUUUGGGGUUUCAAGGCCCCAUUAAAAUAGAGAUGGAGUGUUUAAUUGUUCUUAAACAAAUUUUGUUUUCAUACAGUCAGAAGGUCCCUUUUUAAUAUUUCCCUUACCAGCCAGAAACAACAACAAAAAAAAUAGCUAUUUGAUAAAACCAUUUGAGCACUGUAAAACCUAACUGUGGAAUUCACUAAAUGAAAUAAGUUCAUUUUAUUUGAAACUUUAAAAAAAGUUAAUUCAACUUAACAAAUUUUGUGAUGUGAACUCAAAAACGUAUUAUAUUAAGUAGAACUCAAACUAAAUAAGUCACUGUUAUUUUAACUUUAAUGGUUUAAGUUACAGAAAUUAAUUUAAUCUAGUAGCUUACGUCGUCUAUAAAUAAAUAACUAAAAGCUAUCAAAUAAACACAAACAAUAAUAAAUACAUUGAUCUGUUUCAUAUUAAGCCUACACACCUACAUUAAGCUACAUUUAUUCAUGUCAAAGUAUUACCCAAGUGCGUUUCUAGGCAACAAAAAUCGCGCCGGCGCCAUUUUCCCUCCUUCAGUCGCAGCAGGAGGACGGGCUCACGCAACGGUCAAGAAAAAUAACAGGUAAGCAUUUCUAACUACUUUAUUCAUAUUUGUGGCACUUUUGAACAUUUUCGGUUUUGUUCUCGUACCUAUUUAAUUGAAGAUUAACCAGCUCGGUAAUACUAAUUUGUUUAACGUUUGCUAGCAAACAGUCGAGGCGCCAGGCCGCCAGCCAACACGUUAUCCAAGUUAUCGACGGCAGGUGAAAUGCUGUGUUUUUGUACCCCACAGGCUCUGUGGUAAAUUAAGAAAUAUUUUUUUGUGCUUUCUCACAGUCGGACUCAGAUAACGCAACUUUUAUAUUUUGAGACGGUUGGCAGACCAUCUUCCACAUCUCUCGCGCGCGGCGCCGCAGAAACUACAGCAACAGAGCAAAGACGUUGAAAGGUGGUGUGAUAUCAACAUGGCUACAAUAAUAUGAGGCUGCAUUUUUUGGCUUUGAUGUCAUUCGAACUACGAUCUGGCGGGUCUUACUAUCUGUAAAGAAGAGUCUGCCGAUGUUUUUAAGACACAAGAAAAAGGAGCUUGACCAGGUGCAGAAGGCAACACUCACCAUCAUUGCUGUAGAGGAGGAAGAGGGAACUUUUUACCUUUUAACCCACUGGAUAUUUUGAUUGUCUUUGAAGAUGAGGUGAUGUCUGCCAAGUCCGUGCACUGCCUUUGGAGUACACUUAGUUCGUACAGAAAGUACUGUUGAAUUACCUUUGUUACAUAAAAAUUAUCUACUCUGUUUCUUGUGGUGUUAGAACAUAGUUAUUUUAUAUUAUUAAUUUAAUUUUACAAACUUUUACAAUUUUAAAAUUAAUUUUUAAACAAACAUAUUUCCUUGUUUGUGCGGUCUUAUACUUGGAGGGAAAAAAAUCUAAGACUGUUUUAAAGUUAUAUUUUUGACUUGACAGCCCAAUUAUUUUAUGCUUGAACAUUUUGUGAAUUAACUGUUGUUUUUCAAUAAAUACUUAAGAAUA